rnacentral:rRNA from 1 species
GUGCCAGCAGCCGCGGUAAAACGUAGGAGGCGAGCGUUAUCCGGAGUUACUGGGCGUAAAGCGCGUGCAGGCGGCAGGAUCAGUGGCGGGUGAAAGCGCCCGGCUCAACCGGGCGAGUGCCGGUCAGACUGUCUUGCUCGAGUACCGGUGAGGGACGUGGAAUUCCGGGUGUAGCGGUGAAAUGUGCAGAGAUCCGGAGGAACACCAGCGGCGCAAGCGGCGUCCUGGACGGAAACUGACGCUGAGACGCGACAGCGUGGGGAGCGAACGGGAUUAGAAACCCUAGUAGUCC